UUCAUGUGUAAUAAACUUUUAUUAGUCAGUUUUCACUACCAACACAUCUGUUAGAAAAUACAGAAAUAUUUCUAUUAUGACGUCAUAAACAGUAUGAUGUUUUCUUUACUUUCAAUGUUUUCAUUGCUUUAGCAGAUACGAUGCAGACAUUGAAAGUUACAUUUUGUUUAUCGUCACAUGUUCCGUUCCAGUUCUUGAUGCUGAGUAGUGGCUUAUAUGCCUCAAUGACCCCGACAACUAUGUCAGCAUAGAGCAAGCUCCUAGUAAGUUGUCUUCCCAUGUGGGACAUUUCAAACGAUAGAGGCCAGACUAUAUGAACCAUCUCUUCCCAGAGGUAAAAAUGAGUUUGCGUUGGGCCAAUGCCUCUACCUAGAAAUAAAAGCAAGUUAUAGACUCAUCGGUAAUAACACUGUGUAUAAACUCUCUAUUUGGAAUGACUAAUUUCAAAGACUGUUGGAUUUUACCCAUAGGGUAUUGGAAUCUUAAAAAUUUACAAAGAUUUACAAAGGCAAUGACCAAUCUUAAGGAUUAUUGGAUUUUACUCACAAGGCGCCAAAAUGAUACAGACGUCACUACGUAAAAGUUCAAGAUUGGAAAUAACAUAGAAACACGGUAGGAAUUGUUUCCUGUUGCUUUCGGCAUUUACACGUAUUUCUGUUUAACUGCUUGAUGUGUCUGCUUAAAAUGGGUAUUUUCUUCCAAGGGUAUGGUAUGAUGCAAUGAAUUUCUUCAUCCAAGGGUAUGGUAUGAUGCAAUGAAUUUCUUCAUUAUGCAUUUAUAUUUUCCAACGUCAAAAUAUGCAAAACCAGCAGAUUUCGUUACUUUAUCAAACACGUUGAAGAUAUGUUUCGCCGAUGAGAUCAGAAUAAAAUUGAAACAAUCCAAAGUUACUAUCCAUGCUUUCAGAAAAAUAUAAGCAAUUUUAGAAAUUGAA